AGGGAUGUAGCUCAAUGAUAGAGCAUUCGCUUAGCAUGCAAAAGGCCCUGGGUUCGAUCCCCGGCAUCUCCA